CAAAAACAUAGCCAUUCGGAGGAAUGAGUGGUUAAGUCUGCUCAAUGGAAUAAAUGGCUGCAGUACCUUGACUGUGCAAAGGUAGCGCAAUCAAUUGGCUUUUAAUUGGAGUCCCGAAUGAAUGAAUUAAUGGGGGAUAGCUGUAUUAGAAGUGUUCAAUGAACUUACUGAGUGAGUGAAAAUACUCAUGUGAAAAUAAUAGACGAGAAGACCCUUGAAAUUUUAAGACAUUCUAUAUAAAUCUUUUUGUUGGGGCAACAAAGUAACAUUUAACUUACUUUAAAACAUGGUGAUUAUAUUAUGUUAGAUUAAAUUACUCGAGGGAUAACAGCAUAAUUCAUUAAGUGUUUAUGACCUCGAUGUUGGACUAGGGAGUUGUUAUUCAGAAGAUAAGCGACCACGCUCUGUUCGAG
rnacentral:rRNA from 1 species